UCCUACAGCCACACCACCCUGAAUGUACCCGAUCUCAUCUGGUAUCAGAAACUAAGCAGGGUGGGGUUAGUCUUGGAUGGGAGAAAUGAAUCCCAAAUAAAUUACUAUACUCA
rnacentral:rRNA from 1 species